CAGCCAUUUUAAGUGAAGAACAGUGUGCCUCAAAUCUAUCCAGUCUUGCGACAACAGCAUCGAUUUAUAGCACCUACCUUAAAAAGGCUGGGCAAGCUGGUAAGCCUAUUGUACAAAACUUGUUUUUUUUUUAGUUCAUGCGGCACAUAAAACCACAUAUUGUAAAUGUACAUCCUCUGACAGGCGGCAUAACCAAUACAGACAAACAGUUUUACUAGCGUAGAGCAGAGGACCUAGGCUGGAUGCUCCCAUUUUAUGUUUGGGCUAAAAUAUUUGCAUAGCAUCUGAUCAAUAUUAAAUACAGGAAUGUAUGGUUUUCCAAGACAAGUAAAUCUACACAAGACAACAUACAAACUAUUUCAGUCAAAUAGGAAGACCACUUAAAAUCAAGGAGAAUAUCAAUGUAAAAAUAUUAUCCAUUACCUAAAAUGUCCUUGUAAUUUGGGAUACGUGGGAAGAAUCUGCAGCCCACUCAGUGUCAAGAUAGAACAUAUUAGAAACAAACAUUUAUAAAACAUUUUGCCAAGUUUCAUGGAUGAGAUACUUCACUCUUUGUUUAUAGAUGUUAAUUUGAGAGGAGAUGAUCACCUCCGCAAUUUAUCACAAGAGUAGAUUAAACUCAUUUUAUGCUAUUAUUCAACCAAAAGGACUGAAUAUAGCUUUCGAGAUAUGCAACUUU